rnacentral:rRNA from 1 species
AAUCUGCCCUCCACUUUGGGAUAACUCCGGGAAACCGGGGCUAAUACCGAAUAUUGAAACAUAAGUGGCAUCACUGAGUUUUGAAAGAAUUUCGGUGGAGGAUGACUUCGCGGCCUAUCAGCUUGUUGGUGAGGUAAUGGCUCACCAAGGCGACGACGGGUAGCCGGCCUGAGAGGGCGACCGGCCACACUGGGACUGAGACACGGCCCAGACUCCUACGGGAGGCAGCAGUGGGGAAUAUUGGGCAAUGGACGAAAGUCUGACCCAGCGACGCCGCGUGUGG